rnacentral:rRNA from 1 species
CAAUAGCGUAUAUUAAAGUUGUUGCAGUUAAAAAGCUCGUAGUUGAAUUUCGGGUCCCCGCGCUCGGCGCUUCAUUGUGCCGUCGUGGUGUCCCUCCUCGCCGUCAGGCGUCCUUUACUGUGAAAAAAUUAGAGUGUUCAAAGCAGGCAAUCGCUUGAAUACAUUAGCAUGGAAUAAUAAGAUAGGAUCUUGUCUAUUUUGUUGGUUGCGGACAAUGAUAAUGAUUAAUAGGGAUAGUUGGGGGUGUCCGUAUUGAGCUGUCAGAGGUGAAAUUCUUGGAUUUGCUCAAGACGAACUACUGCGAAAGCAUUCACCAAGGAUGUUUUCAUUAA